rnacentral:rRNA from 1 species
UACGUAGGGUGCAAGCGUUAAUCGGAAUUACUGGGCGUAAAGCGUGCGCAGGCGGUUCUUUAAGACAGAUGGGAAAUCCCCGGGCUCAACCUGGGAACUGCAUUUGUGACUGUAGAGCUGGAGUACGGUAGAGGGGGAUGGAAUUCCGCGUGUAGCAGUGAAAUGCGUAGAUAUGCGGAGGAACACCGAUGGCGAAGGCAAUCCCCUGGACCUGUACUGACGCUCAUGCACGAAAGCGUGGGGAGCAAACAGG